rnacentral:lncRNA from 1 species
CCCACAUAUUCCCUCCCCUUAUCCUGAGAGGAAACUCAAUUACACAUACAGUUAAAACAUACUUUCUACCCAACUUUCAUAACUCUAAAACCAUACAUCACAUUCACAUAAAAUUACAUAUUCACAAUCAAUCCAUUCAGGGGAACAACAUAUUAAAAAAUGGCAUGAAUCCGACCAGGGGUUCAAAAGUUAGUAAAAGUAUCUUUUGAGCCCUGGCUGGCACAUGGCUAUCUGGCUCAAACAGGUUUUACAGAGCCCUCUAUCCUGGAGACAAUGGG